ensembl:lncRNA
GGGUGCUUCCCGCUGCAGCCGCCCCCAGCAGGGCCAUGCGAUGGCACACGAUGCAGUAGUGGGGGCUCUUCAGCAAUAAGCGACAGCAGUCCCGGCGCCAGCAGCCCUUCAGAGCCUGUACUGCCCUGUACUGCCCUGUACUGCCAUCAUCUCGGAGCUCAGUGAGAAGGUCCAGGGCAGGCUGCACCACACGGUGACCAGGCCUGGCUGAGGCAGUGGUGCUGGUACCUGAAGAGACCGGGACAAAUUGGACAAGACGUGUUUGUACCGCGCUGUGUGCUGCCAGUUGACUGGUGGAGCAGCAGAACAGAAAGUCUAUGUUGGCAUCUGGCAUAGCAGCAGGUGCCAAGGGUACCGAUGGUAUAUGGGGGUGAGGGGUCUGGUCUUCCAAAGGAGCAAGACAGAGGAACUGGGGAAUUGCCCUGGAAGUCCAGCACGGCAGCCUUGGAUCAAUCAUCUCUCCAUCAUCAGACCUCCAGUGGCCCCCACCUGUUCAGAUUGGGACCUGGCCUCACCCUGAGCCUCAUUUUGGGGACCCUUCAGGAGUGCUGCGUGGGUAACUUAAAAAUCUUCAUGGGCUGAAUAUCAGUCAGUUGUUUAAAAUAAUGGUCAUCAUAGGAUGAGUCCGCAUGAGGUAUGCAGGUCUAAACCUUUCCUAUUCCUGAGGUUUGAAUAGUUUAGCUGCUUAAUCCCCAACGGGUUUUUUUUGUUAAUGCUAGCCAAACUAAUUUCUUCUAAGAAGUAUACGUCAAAAGCUGAAUUAAAAUAUCAAUGAGAAGGUAAAGACAAAUUAAAUUAAUAUGAAAAGAUUCCAUAGAAUCUAGUUCAAGGUCAGAAUCUCAAAGGAUCCAGUGGUGACCAUCCUUCCACAAUAUCCCACCAAACGGGACUUUGCUCUUUAGCCAGCAUAUGUCAGGGCUCAGCCUCAAUCAUCAGAAAUUCCAGCAACCAGCAGAGUUCUGCAGCAAAGAUCUGAAUCUGUCAGCACCUGGGUUUACUGAGACAAUACUGCCACAUGCCUCACUGACCACAGUUACAUUCAAAACAAGAUGCUUUUCAUCAUUUAUACCUCAGGCACAGUCUCCUGCCUAUUGGUAUAUUUUUGGUCCACCACUGUUCUUUUUGCAGUGACAAUGAGUGAACAGGAAGAAUGGUCAGGCAGAAGGGCAAGGUGCUACUUUCAUACAGAAGAUUUUCACAUAGCUAUAACCCUGUUCUGUGUGAGCAGGGCCUUAACUGCACUGCCCUGAAACUUCUACUAAGAGGGGUAACUUCAGCUUUGUGCUGCUUUCAGGACACAGCAUCUGACCUGGGACAUCAUAACUGAGUUCACUCACAGUACAGAGCUAUUAUGCCAUCAUGAAAACCAGUCUGAACUGCAUCAUUUUGAAGCCAGCCAGCCAGCCAAGUUCGAGGAAGUUUCUCUGCCAUCCCAGAGACACCAGCAUCUCAAAUAUGGUAUUUGAAUACAAGAUUAUGCCACCUAUUACGCACACAUUGGCUGACAUUCAAGCUAUUGAGAAUUAAGAGCAACUUGUUCCCAUUGGUCUUCCUGUAUGAGCUUCUGAAUUACUCACCAUCAUCCAGAAAGUGGUAAAAUUGUAUUUAUGACUACUAUAUAAAAUUCAAACAAGACCUUUAUUUACAUUAGGUUUUCAAGCAGUGGGUAUUGCAACAUACAUAACAAAAUUUCAUACUACAUUUUUUAAAGGUAAUCAGGUUGAAAAAAUGAUCUCCAGAAUCAAUUUGUCAAAACUGGCUAAGCAGAAAAUGUGUCAACUCGGCUUAAGAGUACUUUGUCAAUUUUACACCAUUUUCUGUCAUUCAGAGUAUUUCUGAUGUCCUGGUUAUAAAAACAGAAUGCUCAUGCAGGUUAAUUUACAGUGAACUCUCUAGUAAAUUUUGUGUUCUUCACUUGUUCAGAAGAGCAUAUCAAUAUUCUCCCCACCUUGUCUCACAAAGCAAUUAUGGGUCCAAAUAGGGAGAAAACUCAAUCAGGAGAUUUUUAACAGAAAAAAAAAAAAAGGCUUUAGCAAGACAAGGAGUCAGAAGUUCCAUUCUGUGGGUAACUGAAUUAGAAUCUCUCGUUCUGUAGAAAACAAGUUGUACUGUAAAGAUUAAUCAAGUUCUUUUAUUUCAUACUAACAUUAUGCAGCAACCAAUACGAGUUUCUAGGUAAACAGAGACUUUGUGAAAUGUUUUGCUGCAAAGCUGACCAGUAAUGCACACAAAUGAUAAAGUUAUCAACUCUGCUUACUGCCAGAAAUUGAAAAAAAAAGGCUUCAGGAGCAAAUAACACUGAUCCAUACUGUACUGUGCUCAAGCACUAGUCAACAAAAUCUAUUAAACUACAUGGGUGGAAAAAAAAAAUCAGAGCAGCUUUGUUAUCUUACUUGUGACACCUUAUUUAAAUUUCAGGCAUUACUUUUUAUAUCAGCAUAAAUAUGUAGCCUUCUACAGGUUUUAUGAUGUGGUUACAGACAUAAAAAUGUUAUAGUAGAAAGCAAGAGCUAGUUCAAGGAAUUUCAGACUUUGAAAUCAGCAAGAUACAAAGCUAAAAUUCAUAUGUUCCUUUUCAAGUUAUGAAUACUUUCACUAAAACAUAAAUAUUUUAACAUAUAUUAUUUUUUUCUGACAUUCAAAAUUGUAAAGUCAAUAUGGCAGAAUUAUUGUUAAAAGCACAUAUUUACAAAUAUUCUUUUUUCCAUACAUAAAGUAUUUGGCAUAAUUAUAACAAUCUUACUGCAUACACAACUGUUUGCUUCUUUUUCACAUAAUGGUACACUCCUUAUUAAAAUUUACCAAUUAUGUACAAAAAUACUUGAACAUUUAUUAUAGAAAACUUCUAUAACUACUGUCAACAGCUUGUAACUGCUGAAGGUUUAAUUGAGAGAAUAUAAAAAAGUGGUCACUUUCUUCCAGUUAAACUAUCAACAAAUCAAACACAGCUAAGAUCAACAUGAGCUUCCCAACAAAAGAGGGAGAAUAUUUUUAACAAUAUGAUUUAAAAUGUAGUUCACACAUCUGUUCCCAAGCACAUUUAAACAGUCAAUAAAAGAAAGAGGAUACAAAACA